UUUGGAAGUGGGACCAUGUUAAAGGUGAAUCUUAAAAUCAAGGACCCCAACCCCACUGUGUACCAGCUGAGAAGCCCCGAGUCCAGCAACACUUCUGUCUGCCUGUUCACCGAUUUUGACUCUGAAGUCCAGCUGACACAAAUCACGGGGAGCAAGUGGAACAUGAUGCACAAGACAAAUAGCACCGCGCUCGACAUGGAGAUCCUGGGAUCCAAGAGCAAUGGGAUAGUGACCUGGGGAAACACCACCGAUGCUGGAUGCAAAGACACCUUCAGCGAGGACAUUGUCGUAGCCCUCAAUGACGGAAUCGCCUGUAAUGCCAAGCUGGUAGAGAAAAGCUUUGAAACAGAUAUGAACCUAAACUCCCAGAACCUAUCAGUGAUCGGGUUCCGCAUCCUCCUCCUGAAGGUGGUCGGGUUUAACCUGCUCAUGACGCUGCGGCUCUGGUCCAGUUGAGGUCACCGACAGCCUGAGAGCCCCGUGCUCCCUCGCCCCUUGCUCCUCGUCGCCCUUCCUCUCCCUCUCCAAGCAGAGAGACGCACUCUCUGCCCCUGUGGAUGAGAAGUCUCCCUCCUCCUCUCUGGCCUGGCUGGCCAUAACACCAACUGGAUCCUCCAGAUACUGGCGAUCAAGAUGCUGACAAGCUGCCCAGCAUAGCUGCCACCCACUCUGUUCCUCACUGCUGCUUGUCACUGCCUGGCAUUCUCGGCAAAGUCGGGGGGCUGCUGCAGCCUCUCCUGGCUGUAGGGACACUCCCUCCCCACCCCCACCCCCCAGAGACUGCCUCUGAUGUCCCACUGGAUGGUGGAUCCCCAGUGGGUUCUCUUGGGCUCCAGCUCCCGGAGAAUGUUGUGUGGUGUUUAUAUUUUUUACAUAGUGUUCAUAAAAAAAUAUAUAUCACCCUUUUUCCCAAGAUGUGGGGAAAAAUUAUCUUUUCAUGAUCUAGGCCCUGCUCUGCUGUGUAUCUGAGCCACAUUGUAUAUUCUGCUGCCAAGGCUUCAAUAAAAGCGAUUUGGAAGAGA